UCCCUGACAGCUCAGUUGGUAAAGAAUCUGCCUGCAAUGCAGGAGACCCUGGUUCAAUUCCUGGGUUGGGAA
rnacentral:tRNA from 1 species